rnacentral:rRNA from 1 species
UGGAUGAUGUGGAUUAAUUCGAUGCAACGCGAAAACCUUACCUACCCUUGACAUGUCUGGAAUCCCGAAGAGAUUUGGGAGUGCUCGCAAGAGAACCGGAACACAGGUGCUGCAUGGCUGUCGUCAGCUCGUGUCGUGAGAUGUUGGGUUAAGUCCCGCAACGAGCGCAACCCUUGUCAUUAGUUGCUACGAAAGGGCACUCUAAUGAGACUGCCGGUGACAAACCGGAGGAAGGUGGGGAUGACGUCAAGUCCUCAUGGCCCUUAUGGGUAGGGCUUCACACGUCAUACAAUGGUCGGGACAGAGGGUCGCCAACCCGCGAGGGGGAGCCAAUCCCAGAAACCCGAUCGUAGUCCGGAUUGUAGUCUGCAACUCGACUACAUGAAGUCGGAAUCGCUAGUAAUCGCGGAUCAGCAUGUCGCGGUGAAUACGUUCCCGGGUCUU